UUCGUAUUUUUUCCGUAGUUUGUUGUUUUAUUUUUUCUAUUUCCUUUUUCCUAUCUAUUUCUUCAUUUUCUCUUUCUAUUCUUACCAUUGCUGUUAAUUUAUCUUCUAAUUUUAAUUCUUCUUUUUCUAACAUUAGAUAUAAAUGUUCACCUAUUUUCUUAUAUCUUCUUCCUAGAUUAGAAAAUACUAUCUUUAUUUUUAAUCCUUCAUGAUUUUCAUAUAUUUUUUCAUCUAUUAUAAAUUCUUCUUUGUGCAUUUUAUUGUGAAUAGUUCAUGUUGAUAUAUAUAUUCUAAACUAUCUAUUUGUGAUUCUAAUUUUGAUAUUUCAUCUUUUUGUGUAUUUAUUGA
rnacentral:lncRNA from 1 species